AAGAAAAAGAACAACUUGACAGCAUUUCAGGAGUAUUGCUUCAGCAAAAAAAGGAAAUUAACCAGAAAGGAAGAAUGGCCUAGAAGAAGCAGUAGUGGGCCAAGAGUGAUAAAACAUAUUGGCAAGUCUAAUCCUUGAUGCGUGAUCAUUCACUCUGUAGAAGGCGGCUGCCAUAUUUUGAACAGCCCUACGGAGACAACUUACAACAGACAACUUAGUGAGAAAUGGAGGUCUCCAGAUAACAACCUGAGAAAAACUGAGGCUCAGCCAGAAAAUAAUAAAAAGGAAAGACUGCAAAGGGACUUGGUGCCAGAAGGCUUCAGAGACAGCUGUCCCUGCAGCACGUGGAUCCCUCCUUCCCCAGGCGUGACUGCCUUUCCUGGCAGGUACUCCAAGCCACCAACGGAACAAAGAAGAAACAAAGGUAUAAUGAACAAGCUUCUUCCACUAUACACUACAGACAAUAGGUGCAAUAUUUUGCAAAAAAAAGAAAAAAAUCUGUCUCAUUAGUUAACUCUUUUAGACCAUUUGCUGCUACAUACAGGAAGGCGUGGGGUUUGAGGUGAUGGCAGCAACCUAACAUCGGCAGCUGUGGGCCCUCACGUCGUCCCUCCCCCAUAGUGACAGGCCAGAGUCUGCUUAGGCUUUGCACCUAGGCCCACCUUUUAAUCCCUCCCUGAUCUCUUUGCCACUACAGAGCCCAAACUUGCCUAUGCCUGGUCAAGUCCCAGCGACACAGCAGAACUGUGACUGUGAGAGGAGAGCCCUGCCUUCCUCCUGCUGCUCCUCAACCAGGGCCGGCCCAUUACUUAGCAAUGGCUCUAUUUUUGUCAUGCUCAUUAUACUGCAGCACUGUUCAUUUCCAUCUCAUUAUUGUUGGGGGGAGGGGGUCAUCCGGAGGCUUCGUUGCCCAGGAGACGGGGGUGGGAGGUGGCCUGGUAGGGGGGAGCUGGGCACUCAGCUGUCUUCCGCAGGCAUGGCUCAUCCAUCAUCCGACAAGACUGUCAGGUCUCUCUCUGUUGGUUGUAGGGUGACCACCAGAGCCCAUAGCUUGUUCUGGCUCUUUCUCCUGCCAGAAGCAGAUCCUCCCCUUCUUAAACAGAGAGGGAGAGACGUAUCUAGAUUUAAGGAUAGAGAAAACAGAACAGCCAUACAAAUCCCCUGUGUGAAUCUGUCAGGGACGAAAAAUGUCUCGGGGUGACUGGCUGCUGUAUUAGAGGCACGUGGGGUAGAAGCACUCCUGCCCUCAAGGACACAGGUCCCUGGCUACUUCCCCCCAGCCAAUGGGCCAUAGCCAUGGCGGCUGUCUCUAGAAGUCUCCAUGUGCAGGACAUUUGAUAAUGGCCCCCAGGACUUUUGCCCGGGACUUGACUGCAGCGACAAGAAACAGGUUAGAUGGCCACAGGGAAAGGGGGAGCAAGGCACUGCUGUCGAGAGGAACUGAUGCCCUUUGCCUCUGCCCUGAACCCUGAGGGUUCUGCAAGCCUCCCUCCACACACUCAGCACUCCAGUGGCAGGAUGGAGGGCCCCAAGCCCCUCCUGUGAUGUCUCUCAGCUGGAGCUGCUCCUUCUCACCCUGUGAAAUCAUAUCUCAGACGUUACCUCUUCAGUGAACACUUCCUGGACCUCUUCCCUGUAUCCCUCUGGCAAAGUAAGGCAUGCUUUCCUCCUAAGUCCUCCAGCACUUCGUUCCCUAAUUGUAAUGGUGGGUUGCCCACUAUCUGACUCUCCCACUGCUCUUGUAUCUCCAGACUCUGCUGGGGGCCUGAGGCACAGCACAGAGCUUUGUCGACUACACUGGACCCUGCGGGAUAAUUAGAGGUGUGUGUACAGCACCUCACGACUGAUGGUUUGCUUUGUGCCAGGCACUGUGCUGAGAGCUUCACAGGCACUAUCCCCCUUAAUCCUCACCAUAGCCCAAGAGGCAAGGGCCAUUCCUCCCCCUCCUACAGAGGAGGAGACUGAAGAGGGGAACUAACUUACUCCAGGUCACAUGCAUAUGCCUCUCUCUAGAUUUGCUUUCACUACACACAAGGUAGCAAACCACAUGAUGUUCUUCACCUUGCUUUUUCCCCCUUUGACUUAUUUCUUGGAGAUUGUUCCAUUAUCAGUAGUUACAGACCAAUGCCCAUUCUUCUUAAGACAUCCAGAGUAUCCCAUAAAUGGAUAGAUUCUACCUUAUUUACUCACCCCCUGUUGGUGGUCAUUUAGGUGGUUUCUUUUCUUUUGCUAUUAUAUGUGGUGCUAUAAAGUGGACACCUGCCCACAAACCUCAGCAUAAGUUCUGUUACAUUCCAUGCAAAUCCUUGGUCCUUCUCAAAUUUUGGCAUAACAAAUGAGGUAGGGAUUCAGUUAAGAUGUCGACCACUAUACUCUACAAUGGCCAAAUAUCUUACCCAGCACACAAUAGGUGCUUGUAAAUGUUACCAGUAACGGUGGCAAUGGUGACAACCAACAAUGUCUACUGUAGCACACAGUCCACAGCACUAAGGAGGGCCA